rnacentral:rRNA from 1 species
UACGUAGGGUGCGAGCGUUUAAUCGGAAUUACUGGGCGUAAAGCGUGCGCAGGCGGUUUUGUAAGUCAGAUGUGAAAUCCCCGGGCUCAACCUGGGAACUGCGUUUGAAACUACAAGGCUAGAGUGUAGCAGAGGGGGGUAGAAUUCCACGUGUAGCAGUGAAAUGCGUAGAGAUGUGGAGGAAUACCAAUGGCGAAGGCAGCCCCCUGGGUUAACACUGGACGCUCAUGCACGAAAGCGUGGGGAGCAAACAGG